rnacentral:rRNA from 1 species
UACGAAGGGGGCGAGCGUUAUUCGGAAUCACUGGGCGUAAAGCGUGCGUAGGCGGUCUCGUAAGUUAGGAGUGAAAGCCCAGGGCUUAACCUUGGAAUUGCUCUUAAUACUGCAAGGCUAGAAUCUCGGAGAGGAUAGCGGAAUUUCCAGUGUAGCAGUGAAAUGCGUAGAUAUUGGAAGGAACACCAGUGGCGUAAGCGGCUAUCUGGACGAGUAUUGACGCUGAGGCACGAAAGCGUGGGGAUCAAACAGG